rnacentral:rRNA from 1 species
UACGUAGGGUGCAAGCGUUAAUCGGAAUUACUGGGCGUAAAGCGUGCGCAGGCGGUGAUGUAAGACAGAUGUGAAAUCCCCGGGCUCAACCUGGGAACUGCAUUUGUGACUGCAUCGCUGGAGUGCGGCAGAGGGGGAUGGAAUUCCACGUGUAGCAGUGAAAUGCGUAGAGAUGUGGAGGAACACCGAUGGCGAAGGCAGCCCCCUGGGCUGAGAUUGACGCUCAGGCACGAAAGCGUGGGGAGCAACAGG